rnacentral:rRNA from 1 species
UGCGUAGGUGGUUUCUUAAGUCAGGAGUGAAAGGCUACGGCUUAACCGUAGUAAGCUCUUGAAACUGGGAAACUUGAGUGCAGGAGAGGAAAGUGGAAUUCCUAGUGUAGCGGUGAAAUGCGUAGAUAUUAGGAGGAACACCAGUAGCGAAGGCGGCUUUCUGGACUGUAACUGACACUGAGGCACGAAAGCGUGGGGAGCAAACA